CCAGAGGCUAUAUUUAUUCGAUUGGUGACUUAUGGUCGGGUUCUUAUUAACAAACACACUGACUAGAGCGAGUACAUCGAUGUUGAUAUCAACGAUUGUUCAAUCAGUGAUGAUGAAGAGCGAUUAAGAACAAUGACGGGAAGGAUCAAACGGUUUAAUGAACAACAAGAUAAACCCUCAAAGUCACAACCUGCUUUGUCUGAUUUCUCUCCUCUUUGUUUC